UCGUCAGCUCGUGUCGUGAGAUGUUGGGUUAAGUCCCGCAACGAGCGCAACCCUUAAGCUUAGUUGCCAUCAUUAAGUUGGGCACUCUAAGUUGACUGCCGGUGACAAACCGGAGGAAGGUGGGGAUGACGUCAAAUCAUCAUGCCCCUUAUGAUUUGGGCUACACACGUGCUACAAUGGACAAUACAAAGGGCAGCUAAACCGCGAGGUCAAGCAAAUCCCAUAAAGUUGUUCUCAGUUCGGAUUGUAGUCUGCAACUCGACUACAUGAAGCUGGAAUCGCUAGUAAUCGUAGAUCAGCAUGCUACGGUGAAUACGUUCCCGGGUCUUGUACACACCGCCCGUCACACCACGAGAGUUUGUAACACCCGAAGCCGGUGGAGUAACCAUUUAUGGAGCUAGCCGUCGAAGGUGGGACAAAUGAUUGGGGUGAAGUCGUAACAAGGUAGCCGUAUCGGAAGGUGCGGCUGGAUCACCUCCUUUCUA
rnacentral:rRNA from 1 species